AACUUGCAGGGCUCGCGCUGCACUUUCCAUUCGCGCUCGAGCGCAGGCAGCACGUGAGGAAGUUCUGCUCUUCCCUCACACCUUCAUCCUGUCUGUGGAUGGAAUAAGAGCGUUUCAAACGACGGUGCCUCGCGCAUCUUUAGCAAACAUGUCGUAGAAGGAUUUCGAGGAUGUGAUUUCUAAUCGAGGAUGUUCGUUUAUUCACAUCCAGAUGACUGUUUUUUGUUUUUUGGUGCCAUGGGGAGUCCAAAGAGAAUAGGCAGCUGGAGCUCGGAGACGCCUGCAGGAGGAAGUGGAGGCAGCGCUGCCUCGUGAGGCUGAUGCAACAUGAGGAUUGGCCGACAAAUGAAGGAUGAUUAAGGAAUCAUGGGAAGGAUCUGAUCCGGAUACUGUCAUAUCACUUCAGUGAUGGUGAAAGUAACAUCAAUCAGAGCUCACAGAUCAUCUUACAAAGAUGGUUCAAUCACAAGGGGUAAAAUAUUUAAUAUAAAUAAAAAUUUUACAUAUAACAUGUAUAUGUGUGUGUGUGUGUGUCUGUAAAAAUAUUUGCACAUUUUUAAAUAAAAACUGAU